UGAUCCAGCAAUGCCGCGUGUGCGAAGAAGGCCUUCGGGUUGUAAAACUCUUUCGUCGGGGAAGAAAAUGACUGUACCCGAAUAAGAAGGUCCGGCUAACUUCGUGCCAGCAGCCGCGGUAAUACGAAGGGACCUAGCGUAGUUCGGAAUUACUGGGCUUAAAGAGUUCGUAGGUGGUUAAAAAAGUUGAUGGUGAAAUCCCAAGGCUCAACCUUGGAACUGCCAUCAAAACUUUUUAGCUAGAGUGUGAUAGAGGAAAGUGGAAUUUCUAGUGUAGAGGUGAAAUUCGUAGAUAUUAGAAAGAACAUCAAAAGCGAAGGCAACUUUCUGGAUCAUUACUGACACUGAGGAACGAAAGCAUGGGUAGCGAAGAGGAUUAGAUACCCUCGUAGUCCAUGCCGUAAACGAUGUGUGCUAGACGUUGGAAACUUAGUUUUCAGUGUCGCAGCGAAAGCAUUAAGCACACCGCCUGGGGAGUACGACCGCAAGGUUA
rnacentral:rRNA from 1 species